UGUUAAGUUAGGAGUGAAAGUCCCGCUUUCAAGGUGGGAAUUGCUUUUAAUACUGAUGGGCUUGAGUGCAGAAGAGGUAAGUGGAAUUCCCAGUGUAGCGGUGAAAUGCGUAGAGAUUGGGAGGAACACCAGUGGCGAAGGCGACUUACUGGGCUGUAACUGACGCUGAGGCGCGAAAGCGUGGGGAGCGAACAGGAUUAGAUACCCUGGUAGUCCACGCGGUAAACGAUGAAUGCUAGGUGUAGGGGGUAUCGACCCCUCCUGUGCCGGAGUAAACACAAUAAGCAUUCCGCCUGGGGAGUACGGCCGCAAGGUUGAAACUCAAAGGAAUUGACGGGGGCCCGCACAAGCAGCGGAGCAUGUGGUUUAAUUCGAAGCAACGCGAAGAACCUUACCAGGUCUUGACAUCGAGGAAAACUUGUAGAGAUACAAGGUGAGCUUGCUCAUCCGAAGACAGGUGGUGCAUGGUUGUCGUCAGCUCGUGUCGUGAGAUGUUGGGUUAAGUCCCGCAACGAGCGCAACCCUUAUCUUCAGUUACUAACGCGUAGCGGCGAGGACUCUGGAGAGACUGCCGGGGAUAACUCGGAGGAAGGUGGGGACGACGUCAAAUCAUCAUGCCCCUUAUGACCUGGGCUACACACGUGCUACAACGGUGUUGAACAAAGAGGAGCGAGCCUGUAAAGGUAAGCGGAUCUCAAAAAAGACAUCUCAGUUCGGACUGUGGGCUGCAACCCGCCCACACGAAGUUGGAGUUGCU
rnacentral:rRNA from 1 species